rnacentral:rRNA from 1 species
AUUGAACGCUGGCGGAAUGCUUUACACAUGCAAGUCGAGCGGCAGCGCGGGGGCAACCCUGGCGGCGAGCGGCGAACGGGUGAGUAAUACAUCGGAACGUGUCCUUGAGUGGGGGAUAGCUCGGCGAAAGCCGGAUUAAUACCGCAUAAGCUCUGAGGAGGAAAGCGGGGGACCUGGUAACGGGCCUCGCGCUGUUGGAGCGGCCGAUGUCGGAUUAGCUAGUGGUAGGGUAACGGCCUACCAAGGCGACGAUCGGUAGCUGGUCUGAGAGGACGACCAGCCACACUGGGACUGAGACACGGCCCAGACUCCUACGGGAGGCAGCAGUGGGGAAUAUUGGACAAUGGGCGAAAGCCUGACGCAGCGACGCCGCGUGAGGGAUGACGGCCU